GAAAUACUCCCUCCGUUCCGAAUUACUUGUCGCGGGUAUGGAUGUAUCUAGAUGUAUUUUAGUUCUAGACACAUCCAUUUCUAUGACAAGUAAUUUGGAACGGAGGGAGUACUUU
rnacentral:pre_miRNA from 1 species